GCCAGGACUUGAACGCGGAUACCUUCGAAGGAGGAUGGUGCGGAACAAGGUUGGGGGAUUAGGAGAAAGUUGGUUUUCAAAAGGAUAAGGCCAGCUUCCUGCCGGAUCUACAGCUGUUUUACGACCCGAAUGGGACGCCGUGUAUGCGGAUGUGAAUUUGCACCGGUUGUAUUCGGUGGUGGUGGCCCGGGGUGGGUAGACGAGAUUGAAGUUGGAGCAGGUUAAUGCAUCCGCUUUCUGAACAAGUACGAUAAAGUAAAUUUUAUCGGUGAGGAGAAGGAUCCGACGGAAGAGAGAAGCGAUCGGAGGUGGUCAGCGCGGAUGUUGCACUCGGUGCCGGCGGUUUACGACCACCAGCAGCAUUAUGUGCCGGAAGUGAUGACGGGACACUGUGGGAUGUCCUGAGGGUCCGCAGUCUAUUUCUCGGUGCGGGACAUGUUUGACGAGUAUUACCGAGUAAAGCCGCAGGUCCUGAAGCUGUCGUACUCGGAUUACUUCUAGAGGUUGGAGCGAUAUCCGACGAACCUGAUCAAGAACAUCUAUCUGGAAUACCGAAGAAUUCACCGCAACUCCCGCCCGCAAACGCUCAACUCGCGACUGCGCAGCUUCGGCCGGAUGAACUGGCAACAUCUCUGUCAUUCUCGAAGGAUGACCAAGUGAUCUGGAACUAUCGGUUCAGGCGCUUCACUACCCAGUCGGAAAACG